UAUAUUAUUAUUAUUAUUAAUUUUUUUAAUGAUCAGAACAUUAACCUGUGUGUUAAAGUGUGUUCGCUUGUUUUGUACUGUUCUGUAGUUUCGACCCAAUGAUUCAUCUGACAAACAAAAAACUUUGCGUUCUGCAGGCCUAGGCAUGGAUCAAAGCUGGCGAGACAUUCAAUAACGUCAUAUUCACAGACUAAUCAACCGUGGCCCUUGAGCAAUUUGCUAAAAAAAAAAUAAAGACGACCAAGCAAGUAUCCACUCAAACUCCAUGUGUGGGGGGCAAUUUUUUGCCAGGGAACAGGCCCAUAUUUGAUUUUUCAUGGAAUCAAGGCUCGAGAUUUCUUUGAGGAAGAAAUCAUUGAGAUAUGCUGGACCCUAUGUCAGAGAGGUGUUUCUGGGUACACAUCGUUUCUUUCAAGAUGCAGACAAUGACCCACAACACACUGCCGCCCAGGUUUGUAUUGCAAAUAAGGGCAUAAACUGGGUCAAGACGCCAGCAGAGUCUCCGGAUUUAAACCCCAUCUAACUUGUUUGGCAUCAACUGAAAACACUCAUUCGUAACUCUGCCAAGCCGACAAGCAAAGAUGAACUGGUCGAGGCCAUCAAGAUGUUUUGGCGCUAGAAAUUGAAGAUGUAACAAUGCAACAAAUACAUUGAUCAUCUCAGCAAGGUUUUACCUGUGGUCGUAGUUUGUUGUUUAUAGUUUGUAGUUUAUAUAAACAUCCACAUUUGAAUGUAUUUUUUCUAAUUAUUUUAUUAAAAAAAGAACAAAGAUGUUGCUGAAUAAGUACUGUACUGCUGUUCUGAGUUAGAAAUGUAACACUUUAGAGUACUUAAGCGUUGAAUACAUUGCAAGUUUGGGGAUUUUCACAACAGUAGCCGGGUUAUAAAAAGCAUAUUGUCCUGCUAAUAGGAAACAUUUGCAUGAUGGGCUUCACCUGCUACAGUUGUGAAAAACAAGUGUUUGAAAACCUGUUUUCAAAAUGCCUCCAGUUGUAAAUAAAAACACAGCGUCUUGUUUACAUUCUGUAUUGUGUUACACAUCAUUUGUAUCUACCUUUCCAAUUACUUGUAUAGUUUGGGAUUUAGAAAUGUGCACUUUUAAUUAUUAGUUCCAUUGUUUAGAUCGAAUGUGCAGACUUUUUUUCUUUAAAUGAUUGUUCUAUGUAGGAUGCUGCAUUUUAGACCAGUUGCAAUUAUAAGUAGGCCUAAUAAAGCCUCGUAGCCUACCUCAGCAGGUUAAGUUAUAUUAUAUAGGUCAAGGCUCCAAAGAAAUAGACUCCAAUUAAGCCCUCUUGUUGUU